ACAAGUCUAGCCUGCGGUGGCAGCUGCAAGCGAGAAGGCAUGCAAGCACUUAACACUAUCUAGGCUACCACACCAUUGCUUCACAGCACUCUGCGCAUGCAGCACCCACCCAUGGACCACUCAUUUAGAAUUUACGCUUCUUCGCUAUUAGAUAUUCAUAUGAGUAUGAUUCAUAUGAAUUGAAAUGUAUAGUGUACCACUCAUUUAGAAUUUCCACUUUCUCACUAUUAGAUAUUCAGGGGUUGGUACACAGGACGAAGGACACUUGCCAAGAAAUGGCCUUCCACCUCUUCAGCAGUGACCAAGAUCUGCGCACUUGAGAGCGGUGCAUAUCCCAAUCCUCUAUCAGAUGAGCCAGGCAACAAGCAUCUGUUAAUUCCAGUGUCUCCUGGGAGAUGAAAUUCUGUCUUGCUCUCGGGUACUCACCAAUCUAUUCCUGAAAUGCAUCAAGCGUUUCACACUUGAAGAUAUUGCUAAUGGGUUAUCUUUGAGGGAAGAAAGACUGGCAGUGCCCACCUCCCCCGUGCCUCCCAUUAACCCCAGGGGGUUAAGGGGCAAGAGUUAGUACAAGGCCAGGGCGUGUCCACACGCCAGUGGGCCAUGACCCUGUACCUCUGGAGCCUCCUGCUGCUUCAAAAUCUACUGUUUAGCCUGGGACCGCUAGGUACCAGUUACCAUAGGUGGCCACUAGGUGGCACUGUAGAAGUCUUCAUGAUGGAGAGGCUGUGAACUGGUAGGGGAGGCUUAUGCAGAGCUCCCUACUUUGCACUAGGCUAGCCAUUGGUGGUAGCUGCAAGCGAGAAGGAAGGUAAGCACUAUUCUGGCUACCACACAAUUACUUCACACCACCCUGCACAUGAAGCACCCACUGUAUAAUGGACUACUCAUUUAGAAUUUACGCUUUCAUGUUAUUAGAUACUGUUAUGAGUAUGACUCAUAAGAACGACGGAUUGGACUGUAUAAUGGAUCAUUCAUAUAGAAUUUAUGCUGUCUCACUAUUAGAUAUUCAUAUGAGUACGACUCAUAAGAACGACGAAUUGAAAUGUAUAAUGGACCACUCAUUUAGAAUUUACACUUUCUCGCUAUUAGAUUCUCAGGGUUGGUAUGUAGAAUAAAGGACACUUACCAAGAAAUGGCCGUCCACCUCCUCAGCAGUGACCAAACUCUGCGCACCUGAGAGCGGUGCAUAUCCCGAUCCCCUGUCUGAAGAGCCGUGCAACAAGCAUUUGUGGCUUCCAGUGUCUACUGGGAGGUAGACACAGGAUACUCACCAAGCUAUUCUUGGGAUGCAUCAAGCGUUUCACACUUGAAGACAUUGCGAAUGGGUUAUCUCUGAGGGGAAGAGGACUGACAGGGCCCAUCUCUGCUGAACCUCCCAUUAGCUCCAGGGGGCUUAGGGGCAAGAGUUAGUUCAAAGCCAGGGCGUGUCCACACGCUUGUGGGCCAUGACCCUGUACCUCUGGAGCCUCCUGCUGCUUCAAGAACCCCUACUGUUUAGCCUGGGACCGCAAGGUACCAGUUACCAUAGGUGGCCACUAGGAGGCACUGCAGAAAUCUUGAUGAUGGAGAGGCUGUGAACUGGUAGAGGAGGCUUAUGCAGAGCUGCUCCCUACUUCGCACUAGGCUAGCCAGUGGUGUCAGCUGCAAGCGAGAAGGAAUGCAAGCACUAUUUAGGCUACCACACAUCGCUUCACACCACCCUGCACAUGAAGCACCCACUGUAUAAAGGACCACCCAUUUAGAAUUUACGCUUUCUCGCUAUAGAUAUCCAAUUGAGUAAGACUCAUAAGAAUGACGAAUUGGACUGUUUAAUGGACCACUCAUUUAGAAUUUACGAUUACUCGCCAUUAGAUAUUCAUAUGAGUACAACUCAUAAGAACGACAAAUUGGACUGUAUAAGGGACCAGUCAUUUAGAAUUUACUUUUUCUCACUAUUAGAUAUUCAUAUAAGUACGACGAAUUGGAAUGUGUAAUGGACCAGUCAUUUAGAAUUUACGCUUUCUCGCUAUUAGAUUCUCGGGUUGGUACACAGAACAGGCACUUAUCCAGAAAUGGCCCUCCACCUCCCCAGCAGUGACCAAACUCUGCGCAACUGAGAGCGGUGCAUAUCCCGAUCCCGUCUGAUGAGCCGCGCAACAAGCAUCUGUGGCUUCCAGUGUCUCCUCGGUGAUCAAUUUCUGUCUUGCUCUCCGGUACUCACCAAUCUCAUCUCUGAGGGGAGGAGGACUGGCAGGGCCCACCUCCCCCGUGCCUCCCAUUAACCCUAGGGGGAUUAGCGGUAAGAGUUAGCACAAAGCCAGGGCUUGUUCACACGCCGGUGGGCCAUGACCCUCUACCUCUGGAGGCUCCUGCUGUUUCAAAAUCUCCAACUGUUUAGCCUGGGACCUAAAGGUACCAGUUUCCAUAGGUGGCCACUAGGAGGCACUACAGAAGUCUUCAUGAUGGAAAGGCUGUGAAAUAUCAUAUAUGAUAUUUAUAUAUGUGAUAAAUUCGAUGAAUUCAUUAUUUCGAAAUCUGCAGAGAUAUCACGUCACUUUCAUUCAUUAACUUCUCAAAUGGUAUAACAUUUCUGUUAAUCAUCAAAUAUUCACAUUUCAUGUUUGUCCUUUCAUUCCAAACAGAAUCACCUAUCUACAAUCUCACUAUUUUAGCCGAGCAAGCAAAGAGAUACUGCGACUUUCUAUGCUUGUUUUAUUGCAGUCCCCUGUAGCAUUUUCAUGUUUUAUAAUAUACUUAACGCAAUUAUAGGAGUAGAGAUUGAUGAUGCAAUCACUAGACAGAGAGGCGUCUAGGUUGCCAACAAAACAAAACAAACUUUCUUCCUGACUUUUUUUUUGUAUCAAUUGCAAUACUUCCUCAGUCUUUCAUAUAUGUUCUGAGGUGGUUAGGAGUGCAAGUAAAUGCAUGCAGCUUACAGUUGUUAUUCCCGAUAUCUAUUCACUCCUUGUCUAGUACAUACAAACAACUGAAUAGAAGAUAAAAAUAAGGUCAUUAAGGAAAAAAUGGCUUGUGUUUGCACUUGGUUUCUAUAUCUCCUAUCUUUGGCCCUUGUGUAUAUUGUGAUUUAGAGGCUGGCCAGAAUGCCCAGAGCCUUUCAGUGCAAAUAACCACAACUCCUCGGGAUGCCGUUGGAAGGGCGCCACCAGCAAGAAGGUCUAUAGAACCCCAACCUAGAACCCAGAAUCCAUUAAAUAACCACCAUAGAAUGCAACAGGAAAAAAUGGGCACCACUUGCCAGAAUAACCACGGAACUUCAGGCAAAGAUCAAGGCUAAAGAAGUGAAGGAUAGCCAAAAAUACAGUGCGCAUGACGACACUGAGACUUAUCCAAUAACACCAUCUGAGGAUGAGGUCGGCGGACGGAAAGGAAGUUCCGAAUGUGGAUGACCAAAAGUGCAGUUCACACAAGGACUAUGGUGAAGUUGUUGGCUGACGGUAAAUAUACAUAGAAAGACAUUCCUUUCUUUUCGCAAGAUUAGUACUUGCUCCUUAGAUUCACACCACACAAUACUUGGUCGAGUGACGCCGAAGGGAGGGACAAGGAGGUUUACUGUAUCACUGUAAGUGUCCUAAGUGUCCAAGGACGCGGGGUGAGGAAGACGACAUCGAAUAUCGCAUUUUCCAAUUGGAAUGAGUUCCUCUGUUUAAACAGAUGGUCAAGGUUUAAGAGAUGCACAUGUCCUACAUCGUCGAUGUUGGCCCAGCAUUGGAAUUUUACAACUUAAAUCACCUGGAUGAGCCUUUUUAAGGCCUACACGGACGACAACUUGUUAUUAUUGUGGUUGUCCUCACGAAUAGCUGUGGCUAGAAAAACAAUCCGAUGUUGCCUCUGCACAGGAACAGCGACAGGAAGACUAACCAAGUAUUCUUGCCACACCCUGGUCUUCUAUGAAAAUACUGUCUGCCACGACAGUUGCGGUUGAAGAUGCAGUCCAGCGGCACUGUCGAAGAUUCCAUGUGUGAUAGUCCGAGGUAUAGGAUGUUACUGUGACCUCUCCAGAGACCGGAGAAGAUCAGGACAGAAGCAGUUAAGCCUUCGUCAGCAAAGGACCUACCUUCUUCAUCUCAUCCCAGCGGGGCGUCGUUUCCUCCGCCAUGUCACCCGCCAGCGCAUGCCCAAAAGACACCAACCUGUUCCUGAAAAUCUACGCUCUGUACACGGCGUGAUGCUGCGAUGCGACAAUAAAUGCUUACGCCCCAU